UUAAAUUAACCAAAGAUUAAUUUUUCUCAUCUAUAUAAAGGGCUCCAAACCCUACAAAAUUAUCACACAAAUCAAACAUGGCUAAUCUCCCACUAAUCACCACCAUUAUGGUGGCAUUAGUGUCCCUAAUUAACUUUUAUCCCGUCAUCGCCGACGAUCACGACAAUUAUUAUCCACCGAAAAAAUACUCGCCGCCGCCACCGAAAAAACCCUAUAUCUAUAAGUCACCCCCGCCACCACCCCCCAAGAAGUACAAGUCACCGCCGCCGCCUCCUCCCCCCAAGAAGUACAAGUCGCCACCGCCGCCUCCUCCUCCCAAGAAGUACAAGUCACCGCCGCCGCCGCCGCCGCCGCCUCCCAAGAAGCAUUAUUAUUACAAAUCUCCACCACCUCCGAGAAAACCCUAUGUUUACAAAUAACCUCCACCUCCGCCCCCUAAAAAGUAUGUCUACAAAUCACCUCCGCCGCCGCCUCCACCAAUUUAUUACCAUCCUCCGUACGGCGGCCACCCUUAAGCAAAAAAUACGGAACCAAUUAAGAGUCUGUUGAGAAGUGAUCUGAUGAAGAUGAAGAUAUGGAAUAAGAGUGAAAUAUUGUUAUUUUAAAUUAUAAUAAAUUAAAUAUGUAUUUUUAUAUUUCCACGUCAGCUGUGUAGCUUUUGGCAUGCAUGCAGGCGUAUAUAUGUAUUGUUGUAAUUUUAUUACAUGCUUCUUAUUAAUUAUUUCUCUUCUUAA